CUAAGCAGUAAGGCUGAGUAUUAGGCAAAUCCGGUACUCGUUAAGGCUGAGCUGUGAUGGGGAGAAGACAUUGUGUCUUCGAGUCGUUGAUUUCACACUGCCGAGAAAAGCCUCUAGAUAGAAAAUAGGUGCCCGUACCGCAAACCGACACAGGUAGUCAAGAUGAGAAUUCUAAGGUGAGCGAGCGAACUCUCGUUAAGGAACUCGGCAAAAUGACCCCGUAACUUCGGGAGAAGGGGUGCUCUUUAGGGUUAACGCCCAGAAGAGCCGCAGUGAAUAGGCCCAAGCGACUGUUUAUCAAAA
rnacentral:rRNA from 1 species